CCUACGGGUGGCAGCAGUGAGGAAUAUUGGUCAAUGGACGAGAGUCUGAACCAGCCAAGUAGCGUGAAGGAUGACGGCCCUAUGGGUUGUAAACUUCUUUUAUAAAGGAAUAAAACGAGGCACGUGUUCCUUUUUGCAUGUACUUUAUGAAUAAGCAUCGGCUAACUCCGUGCCAGCAGCCGCGGUAAUACGGAGGAUGCGAGCGUUAUCCGGAUUUAUUGGGUUUAAAGGGUGCGUAGGUGGUUUGUUAAGUCAGCGGUGAAAGUUUGCGGCUCAACCGUAAAAUUGCCGUUGAUACUGGCUGACUUGAGAAUAGUUGAGGUAGGCGGAAUGCGUGGUGUAGCGGGGAAAUGCAUAGAUAGCACGCAGAACCCCGAUUGCGAAGGCAGCUUGCCGAAGCAUUACUGACGCUGAAGCACGAAAGCGUGGGUAUCGAACAGGAUUAGAUACCCGAGUAGUC
rnacentral:rRNA from 1 species